GGAAGUAAAAGUCGUAACAAGGUCUCCGUUGGUGAACCAGCGGAGGGAUCAUUACAGAGUUGCAAAACUCCCUAAACACUUGUGAACCUACCAGUAUCGUUGCUUCGGUGGGCGGCCCCAGGGCGGGGCCGUAGCCUUUACAGGCGCCCGCCGGAGGUUACAAACUCUAUAUUUUUAAUUGUCUCUCUGAGUAAACUUAUAAAUAAGUCAAAACUUUCAACAACGGAUCUCUUGGUUCUGGCAUCGAUGAAGAACGCAGCGAAAUGCGAUAAGUAAUGUGAAUUGCAGAAUUCAGUGAAUCAUCGAAUCUUUGAACGCACAUUGCACCUACCAGUAUUCUGGUAGGUAUGCCUGUUCGAGCGUCAUUUCAACCCUCAAGCUCUGCUUGGUGUUGGGGCCCUACGCCUCGCGCGUAGGCCCUUAAGACUAGUGGCGGACCUUCUGUGAUCCCGAGCGUAGUAAUUUUUACCGCUUUGGAGACCUGGAGGCACCGGCCGUUAAACCCCUAUUUCUCAAGGUUGACCUCGGAUCAGGUAGGAAUACCCGCUGAACUUAAGCAUAUCAAUAAGCGGAGGA
rnacentral:rRNA from 1 species